UACGUAGGGCGCGAGCGUUGUCCGGAAUUAUUGGGCGUAAAGAGCUCGUAGGCGGACUGUCACGUCUGCUGUGAAAAGCUGGGGCUUAACCCUGGCCUUGCAGUGGAUACGGGCAGACUAGAGGUAGGUAGGGGAGAAUGGAAUUCCCGGUGUAGCGGUGAAAUGCGCAGAUAUCGGGAGGAACACCGGUGGCGAAGGCGGUUCUCUGGGCCUUACCUGACGCUGAGGAGCGAAAGCGUGGGGAGCGAACAGG
rnacentral:rRNA from 1 species